UCUAAGGAUGAUCCUUCAGCGAGCCUCAAGCUCACUAUCGGAUCGUUUUAGAAACAUCAGUGGCCAACGGUCGUCAGGAUCGUUGAGCUGCAUUGGCGGGAUUUCGCCGUCUACGUUUCUCUUUCUUCGCGGACGAACACGCGCUGGGCCUGCAUGGUUGCAGGAUCCCGGUCCUUAACAGGAUAUGCGUUAGGGGCUUGUAGCUCAGUUGGUUAGAGCGCGCGCUUGAUAAGCGUGAGGUCGGAAGUUCAAGUCUUCCCAGGCCCACCACACUCAUCGAGUGAGCAUUCGUCUUCUGGUUACGGGGCCAUAGCUCAGCUGGGAGAGCGCGUGCUUUGCAAGCAUGAGGUCGUCGGUUCGAUCCCGUCUGGCUCCACCAGAUGGUUUGAUCAUCGACUGAUCGUGCAACUAAAUCGUCCGCGAUACAUCACUUCGCAUCUUGCUAGUCUGGAUAGACAGCAANUUGCGUGAUUUCUGACAUCGUAAAGAGGAGAUCGAUCCGAGUUGGGUCGUGCAGCAAGCAAUUGCUGUGCGACACUUCAUUAUCUCCGGAUCAUUUCGGCGCUCGUGCGUCUUUCAAGGNAGCUCACAAGGCUGCAUUUGAGAGGCNGGCGAGUUGUAAAUGAUCCUUUUAGCGAAGCUUGACCGCCUCGCUAUCGGAACGAUCUUACGAAGCAAGCUGGUCUUUCUAAUCAUUGUCCGGCUGCAGAUAGCGUUCAUCGAGGGCGCGUGCCGCAAGGNAAUUCUGCAGACAACAUUCUGCCGAGUGUGUGGACAUUGAUAAUGAGAGCAAUCAAGUGCCUUAAGGGUGUUCGGUGGAUGCCUUGGCGCUGAGAGGCGAUGAAGGACGUGCUACGCUGCGAUAAGCCGUGGGGAGCUGCGAAGAAGCUUUGAUCCAUGGAUUU
rnacentral:misc_RNA from 1 species